AAAACUUUAUCAGGCGCCUAAACCCUUGAGGGUUAAGAGGGAGAGUCUUAUGAGGGUGAUGGUUGAUGUUCUUUCUAUCUGCAUUCCUAGAUUACUAUGAAGAGGAUAAUGUGAAGUUAUUCUCGGAAGAUUAUGGCACUGCGAAAGGAAUGUAGCACUGGGCCAUAAAUUAACCGGAACAGGAAAGGCUUAUUCUCAACUCCAGUUUAUUAACUCAGCCAUAUGCAUAUGUAACCCUUUGUACCAAAAACUUGUACUGUAUUCCUGGAAAUCUGAGGAGCAGCCUUUGGUGGAUGAAGAAUGUAAUUCUCCCUGGAGAUGUGGGUAUCCCUUUUGAAGGGGACUGAAGUAGAAUCAGCUGAUAUCCAAGGACCUUAAGACAGGAAGCUAAAGGGUUUCAAUUUCAAGAUGGAUCAAGUGGAGCAUAUUGGAAACCUGUAAACAAGAAGUCUGAUCUCCCCU
rnacentral:lncRNA from 1 species